AACGUAGGGGGCGAGCGUUGCCCGGAUUCACUGGGCGUAAAGCGGGUGUAGGCGGUUCUUUAAGUCGGAUGUGAAAUCCUACGGCUCAACCGUGGAACUGCAUCCGAUACUGGGGAACUUGAGGACGGUAGAGGUCGGUGGAAUUCCAGGUGUACCGGUGAAAUGGGCAGAUAUCUGGAGGAACACCAGUGGCGAAGGCGGCCGACUGGGCCGAUCCUGACGCUGAGACCCGAAAGCCAGGGUAGCGAGCCGG
rnacentral:rRNA from 1 species